rnacentral:misc_RNA from 1 species
UCCUGGUUCACCCAGGCAGUCUCACUAGAGUUCCCACCCUAAGUGUUGGCAACUAGUGAUAAGGGUUGCGCUCGUUGCGGGACUUAACCCAACACCUCACGGCACGAGCUGACGACAGCCAUGCAGCACCUGUUCAGCGGCUCCGAAGAGAAGCACUGUUUCUAGUGCGGUCCACUGUAUGUCAAGCCUGGGUAAGGUUCUUCGCGUUGCAUCGAAUUAAACCACAUGCUCCACUGCUUGUGCGGGUCCCCGUCAAUUCUUUUGAGUUUCAGCCUUGCGACUGUACUCCUCAGGCGGUAUACUUAUCGCGUUCGCUACGGCACAACCGGGGUUGAAUCCAGUUACACCAAGUAUACAUCGUUUACGGCUAGGACUAC